CUACGGGUUGCUGCAGUUAGGAAUAUUCUGCAAUGCGCGCAAGCGUGACAGAUUGAACCAGAGUGUUUUUCAAAUGAAAAGCUUUUGCCAAGUGUAAAAAGCUUGGCGAAUAAGGACUGGGUAAGACGGAGUGCCAGCCGCCGCGGUAAUACUCGCGGUCCAAGUCGCAGCCAUUUUUAUUGGGUCUAAAACAUCCGUAGCUUGCUUGGUAAGUUUCUUGUGAAAUUUUAUAUCUCAAAUAUAGAGCGUGCAAGAAGUACUGCCUAGCUAGAGACUGGAAGACGUAAGAAGUAUGUUUGGAGUAGCGGUAAAAUGUGUUAAUCCCAGACAGACUAACAACAGCGAAGGCAUCUUACGAGGACAGUUCUGACAGUAAGGGAUGAAAGCUAGGGGCGCAAAACGGAUUAGAUACCCCUGUAGUC
rnacentral:rRNA from 1 species